UGCUGGAAUAGAGCUAGCUAUGGCUUCAAGAGACAUGAACACAAAGGACGAAUCCUUUGUGAUGCUUAUAUGCACUGCAGUUUCGCUUGUGGGUUCUAGUGCAGCACUUGGCUUUGUGUGUGGGAUUGUUGCGCAUGUUCUUCUUAAGUUGAGAUCUGGCAUUAUGCAUAGCACAAGAAUUCCAUAGAAAUUUAAAUUUGUAUUGGGAUUUUUAUUUUCUGCCUUUUCGUCAGGGCACUGUGAUUCUGUGAAUCCAAUGUCCCUUCCAAGUUAUGAAAACAAAUAAAAACUUUUAGUGUACUACUUUUUCUUUAAUUUGAAGUGGUCUUAUUCAAAAAAAAAGUAGUACACUAAAAGUUUUUAUUU
rnacentral:misc_RNA from 1 species